CCCGAGAGGAGGGCCACGUGCAGCACAGCACACCUCCCACCACCGGCCGGCCACUAACUCCAGAUCAGAGUCCGAGAAGCGGCCAGCAAGGCUUCCGGGCGGACCCCUGUGCCCCACGGCCCCCAGCGUCCCUCCCGCAGCCCCUGGCUCCUUCGUUGCCCCGCUCCGUGACUUCCUAGCACCGCUGGCUCCUCAUCAAGCAAACGAGCACACAGCUCUACCCUCAGUUGAGUGCCCGGGGAUGUUCUGGGCCUGGCACACAAGGCAGAAGCCAGGCCUUGGGCCGGGGCUCCCCUGGCGCGCCGCCCUCCCCUCCACGGGUGGACCUGUGAUAAAGCCACUUUUCCACCGCACCGGAGGGGCCUCAAAGCUUCGAACACUGGAGAGCAGUUCUCGUCCCCGGCCUUCUCUGCUUCCCCUCUGCAGGUGAGAAAGUCGGGCACCUGCCCACACUCACAGAGGCCGCCCCGAUCCGGUCAGCCGUUCCCUGUCUGCCCCGCAGCCCCACAACGACACCGCAAAUACCCAGUCCCAAGGGCUGGGACCAGAUUCUGUUGCAUUCAACCCGCGGGAGAACUCCGCCCGGGCUCCCGCAGUCCUGCAGCAGGAAGAAAGAGGGCGCUCUUCUCUCCCGCACCUGGACACGGCCUCUCAGCGACCGCGCGGGCAGAGUCGGGGACAGCGGCAAGGGGCAAAGGCCCAGCCCCACCGGGACAGCCCGCCCGCCAUUCCCGCUCAGCCCGCGCUUCUCCUGAACUCAAGGGAAGAGCGUGCAUGCAGUCCCCCACUACCACAAAUUAUGCAGUCGAGUUUCCCACAUGUGGGGAAAUCGCAGGGGUCAGCACUCCCGCAGUGCAAUGGAAGAGCCUAGCCCUGGGAAAAGCACCUGCCUGAUCGUGGUGUCUGCCCUGCCAGGUAAGUAUAUUUGCUGAUUUGAUAAUUACACAGUCUAGCUUAAGAGGCAAGUGGCGGGUGUGAGAUAAUCAGACGGGAUGCCAGAUUAGAUGGUACUAACUAUAAAUAGGGGUGGAACCAGAGGAAAGUGAGACGUGUGGACCAACAGAGCUGCAGAGGUCUGCAUACGACAGCAGGUGUCCCUGAGUGGGGAGCUAGCACAGGCAGCAGUGGUGAGCAUGGGUGAGGCACAGCAGGACACGUGGCCAGCCAGCCCCAAGACUACAUACGGUCUGGAAUCCAGAGACAUCAUGGCUGGGUCUGGACUUGCCAUGGUUGGUAGGAGAACUCAGGGAGAACCUGAGAUGACUUUUUGGAUCAACUCUUGAUUAAUCUGGUGUGGAUUUUUCCAUGGUACAUUUAAACCUCAGACUGACUUGUCCUGACACUCAGGCCAUAGUCUACUUGCUGCCCUGGCCACAUUCAAUGUCACCCUGAGACUAUUAAUCUACCACAAGUGUUCCAUUGCUCGUGUGUCUUGGGCACCGCAAACUCCCGGUGAAGGCUCUGUAUCAUCUGGGUGCCUCCCCCUCCAUUAGCCCUGAGCCUUGCUGGGCCCUGUUACUUGCUGGGGCUCACAGGGCUGCAGGCUCAGUUCCUGCCCUCUCGCUCUGUCUUCUGAAGACCUUCCUGGGCUGUAAGCACAUCCUACGCCUAUAGACAGGGAUUCCCUGAAUCCUGACCCCCAAAACCAACAGCCCAGAAACACUUAGGCAGAGCAGCCAUCCAGAAUUCCGGUGGGUCUCUGGACAGCACCCCCUGGUGGACACAGAGAUUUCACCAUAUUCAACUCCAAUCCAGUCUCUUCCCCAACUCUCCCAGGAAAAUGGCCCCUCCUCCUGGUUUAACAUCACUACCUGUCCACUGAGCUCAGCUGAAAAUCUCAGUUGCCUUGAUGCCUCCUUCAGCCACCUGUCCACACCAGCUGCCCAACACACACUGCCUGAAUCUCUUCUAAAUACUCUUGAUGCUGACUCUGCUCCACCUGGGUUCACCCCUUUGUACCUAGAGUCUAGGUUUCUGCAGUAUCUGACAUCUGUCAGGCCCCAGCGAGGACAAAGGAAGCACUCUUAGUUCUCCCAGGUAAAAGGGACUGAAUGUGUGGAGUUGUCUGUAUAGGAGAUGAAAGAGUUAAGAAGCCACAUAGGAUGGUUUUGCAUCCCAGAGCCCAGCUACAGCAGGAAGCCACCAACAUCCUGAGGGCUGGAAAGAACAGGGGGAGGAGGUGGAGUUUUGAUACAGGAUGCCGGGGCCAGUAAGAUGGGAGCUACAACCAACAGGGCUGGAGGAACCAAAGAGACAGAACUGCUGCCGAAAGUGCUGCCUGAAGCAGAUGGGGACAUAACCGGGCUUGACGCUCCUCCUGCCCCCUAAUUCCCUGCUAGUGCCUCCUGCUGGCCAAGCCCAUCAAAAUCGCCGGACUUGGGCACCUGGGAAACAGCCUGUAGAAGUUAGGCCCCCGACAGGCAGAACAACAGAGGAAGGGCCCAGAGCCAGCCCCCUGCCUCUCCAUAUAUAUAAACCAGUCUCCAUCCCUAUAAUCUCUCAUUCCUUCUAAUCUGUUCUCCACUCUAUGCCAGAAAGAUCUUUCUUGCAUAUAAACUUAACUAAGUCAUUCCUCCUGCUUAAAACCUGGCAGCAGCUAGAAGUUUCCUGGCAAGAAAAAAAAAUAGGACUUAUCCACCAGGGUGAUUUUGUCAGUCACUUACAAAUAAAGGAAGUGCUACUUCACUUGGCUAUAAAAGUACUAGGUUUGCUCCAUAACAUGAGAUAAACUACUGCUCAAAGUAUUACCAAAAAACAGAAUGGAGACUUCAAAUUCAUCAACCAUGAAACUGGAAACUCGCUGAAGACAGCUACUUUCUGACCAGCGCUGAUGGCCAUGAUGAAGGGCUCAGUGAGCCAGUGGAAUAUGCCAUACAGAAGGAUGUGGGGAGCAAGGGGAGGCUGUUUAAACCUACUACAACAAUAGAGGAGCAAGAUUCAGUGAGUAACCGAAAGACUCAGAAUGAAAAGAAAAGCCCAGGUCAGAGGGCUUUGUUGGUGAACUUUAUAAAACUCCUAAAGAAUUAACACUAAUCCUUCACAGCCCUUCCAGAAAGUAGAAGAGGGGGAACGUGUCACAAUGUCACAACUCACCCAAUGGUACCAGUAGCACAUUGAUACCAAAACUGAAGACUUCACCAAAAAUCCGUCAGUAUCCUUUACAAAUACAGAUGUUACAAUCUUCAACAAAAUAUUAGCACACCAAACCCAGCUACAUAUAGAAAUGAUUACAUACCACACCCAAAUGAGAUUCAUCCCAUAAAUGCAGGGUUGAUUUAGUAUAUGAAAAUCAAGGUAAAGCACCAUAUUAAAUGAAAAAGCACAAAAAUUAUAUGAACAUCUCCAUAGAAAAAGAAUUUAGCAAUAUGUAACAUCUUUUAAUGAUAAAAACACUUAUAAACUAGAAAUAGAAGAAAUUCUUCAAGUUGAUAAAGAUAGUCUAUGAGAAAGUCACAGCUAACAUCAUAUUUAAUGGUGAAAACUGAUUUACCCCUAAAAUAAGACUGUACAUUCUGGUUACUUCAAUAUUGUAAUGGAAGUACCAGCCACUAUAACUAUGCAACAGAAAGAAACAAAGACAUCUGGGUUGGAAAGGAAGAAACAAACUAUUAUUAUUUGCAAAUGCCACAAUCUUAUAUAUGAGAUUCUCCAUGAAUUCCCAAAAUAUUAUGAGAGCUAAUUAGUGAGCUCAGCAAAGUUGCAGAAUACAGUGGGGAAAUAAUAGUCUUUUCAACAAACACUGCUGGAAUAAAUGGAGAUCCAGAUGUGAAAGAAUGAAGUUGAACCCCAGCCUCACAAAAAUCAACUCAAGGGGUUGGGGCUGUGGUGUAGCAGGUAAAGCCACCACCUGCAGUGCCAGUCUGAGUCCAGGCAGCUCCUCUUCCAAUCUAGCUCCCUGCUAAUUCACCUGGGAAAGUGGUGGAAGAUGGCCCAAGCACUUGGCCCCUGCACCCAAAUGGGAUACCCGGAAGAAGCUCCUGGUGUCGGAUCUGCCCAGCUUUGGCCAUUAUGGCCAUUUGAGGAGUGAACCAGCAGAUGGAAGAUAUCUCUCUCUCUCUCUCCCUCUCUCUCUCUGCCUCUCUGUAACUCUGCCUUUCAAAUAAAUAAAUAAAUAUUUUUUUAAAAAAUCAA